UGGGGAAUCUUGCGCAAUGGGCGAAAGCCUGACGCAGCGACGCCGCGUGUGCGAUGAAGGCCUUUGGGUCGUAAAGCACUGUCAACAGGGACGAAAACCUGGAGGGUAAUAUCCUUCAGGCUUGACGGUACCUGUGGAGGAAGCACCGGCUAACUCUGUGCCAGCAGCCGCGGUAAUACAGAGGGUGCAAACGUUGUUCGGAAUUACUGGGCGUAAAGCGCGUGUAGGCGGUUUGUUAAGUCGACUGUGAAAGCCCAUGGCUCAACCAUGGAAGUGCAGUCGAUACUGGCAAACUCGAGUCCCGGAGAGGGUGGUGGAAUUCCCAGUGUAGAGGUGAAAUUCGUAGAUAUUGGGAGGAACACCGGUGGCGAAGGCGACCACCUGGACGGGUACUGACGCUGAGACGCGAAAGCGUGGGGAGCAAACAGG
rnacentral:rRNA from 1 species